rnacentral:misc_RNA from 1 species
UUAGUUGAGUUGAGUUGAGUAGUCUUCCUUGACUGCAUCACUGGUAGGCUAGAAAAAGUUCUCUUUACUAUCCAAUUCUAAUGAGAAAAAAUAAUGAUGGUGGUCCUUCUACUCUGAUUUGGGAAAAUGAAAACCAGAGUGAUUUAGUGAAUUGUUUGUGAAACAAGCCCAACUGAGGGCGGAUGGAAGUUUUGCUGAAUUAACUACUUUGUUGAGUCUGUUUUGUUUAUUUACUUGUCUUGCUCUAACCAAACUGUUUGAUAUCACAUUCUUUUUUCUUUAUCUCUUGAAGUUUGGAAAUGUAAUCUUUCUCCACUUUCUUAUAGGUCCUAGGAAGAUUAGCAUCUC